UACGAGGGGGGCAAGCGUUGUUCGGAAUUAUUGGGCGUAAAGCGUGCGCAGGCGGUUAUGCAAGACAGAUGUGAAAUCCCCCGGGCUCAACCUGGGAACUGCAUUUGUGACUGCAUGGCUAGAGUACGGUAGAGGGGGAUGGAAUUCCGCGUGUAGCAGUGAAAUGCGUAGAUAUGCGGAGGAACACCGAUGGCGAAGGCAAUCCCCUGGACCUGUACUGACGCUCAUGCACGAAAGCGUGGGGAGCAAACAGG
rnacentral:rRNA from 1 species